GACUACCGGGGUAUCUAAUCCUGUUCGAUCCCCACGCUUUCGUGCCUCAGCGUCAGUGUCGGUCCAGUAAGCUGCCUACGCAAUUGGUGUUCUGUGUAAUAUCUAAGCAUUUCACCGCUACAUUACACAUUCCGCCUACCUUAACCAAACUCAAGACUAACAGUAUCAAUGGCAGUUCUGCAGUUAAGCUGCAGGAUUUCACCACUGACUUAUUAGUCCGCCUACGCACCCUUUAAACCCAAUGAAUCCGGAUAACGCUCGCAUCCUCCGUAUUACCGCGGCUGCUGGCACGGAGUUAGCCGAUGCUUAUUCCCGAAAUACCGUCAAUCAACGACACGUCGCUGAGUUUCGCCUUUCGGAAAAGCAGUUUACAACCCAUAGGGCCGUCUUCCUGCACGCGGGAUGGCUGGUUCAGGCUUGCGCCCAUUGACCAAUAUUCCUCACUGCAGCCCCCCGUAGG
rnacentral:rRNA from 1 species